AAGACUAUACUUUCAGGGAUCUUUCUAUAGUUCAUUACUAGAGAAGUUGCUCUGAAUGUGUAAAGCACCAGAAACCACGGAGGGAGUGCAGUGUUCGCUCCUGGGCCUGAAGUCUGCUGUUGGUGUUGCUUUGCUGCAACUGCCCUUUGCCAUUAAUAAUUGCUCUUCUCUACUUCUUGGGGAGUAGGAGGGAGAGGACGCAGACUGAGUAGG
rnacentral:snoRNA from 1 species